rnacentral:lncRNA from 1 species
UCGAAAAGAAGGGUUCUGUUACCUGUUAGCCGGAGUUAUCAGCUUAGAAAAUGGAAACGAAAUUAAGAAAGGGGUGGUUUAAUUCUCAGUUGGUCUGCAAUUAGACAUGAGAAGUCUGGUUCCCGGGGAAAAAAAUUCAAUGUAGGGUAUCCAUUGGAUACCAGGAGCAAAGAACUGGAUACAUUUGGGUUCUAAUUUAUCGGAUAAAAUCUUCGCUCUUCGCACGUGUAGCCUUAAAAACUUGGGAACGCUUCAUGCCUCAGCAAUUACAGCCUUUGG